CUCCAAGGGUUUUGGGAGCUGUGAGCCUAGAACUGUGGACAAAGACCAAAUAUAUAUGAGAAAUAUACUUUGGUCAUUCGAAUGACCAAGUAUAUGUUACUUUAAAUCAUAAUAUCGCAGAAAGAGAGACAACUGUAUGGACGUAUGCUGAGGUGACAGAAUGAGUCACGGGGGCCAGACCUGGAUAAAGGAGAUAAUGUGUGGGGGAGGUGAAUCGGGAAAGGACACUGAGGGAGUGAGAGUGAAAAUGAGAGCGUAAUAUGAGAAGCCUGAGCCUGAAACGUAGGGAAAACCCCUCACGACAAUUACAGUAUAAGGAAAACUUCAAUUCAAUGCUUGCAAUUAAAAACAUUAGUUUAACAAGAAGGAAACACAGAGAAAUGAGACCAAGAAGAUCAACGAGAGGAGAGCUAGUCACCACAGGGACGGUCUAGGUGUUUAUGUUCUGUUGGAAACGCUGCCACGGGCCUGGCUGAUCUGAGGACCACUGACCAGAGUCUUUAGACAUUUUAUCCAUUAGCAAUUUUUUCAGUCUUUUUUUUUUUUUCUGCUUUAUCUCCCCAAAUCUCCUCGGUACAUAGUUGUAUAUCUUAGCUGCAGAUCCUUCUAGUUGUGGCAUGUGGGACAGCGCCUCAAUGUGGCCUGAUGAGCAGUGCCACGUCUGCACACAGGAUCAGAAUUGCUGAAACCCUGGGCCACUGCAGCAGAGCGCGCGAACUUAACCACUCGGCCACGGGGCCGGCCUCAAUUUUUUCAGUCUUAAAGGAAGAAAAUCUGUAGUGCCAAUGAACAUGAUCCAGCAUAGCCUGAAACUAUGAACUGUAUGGGAAAACGAAUGAGAAAUCUGACCUGUUGAAAUGAAAAAACAGCAUCUCCGGUCAGUCUGAGAAGCCCAUCCUCCCAGGAAGCAGUUUCUGACACGCAGAGCAGGCUCCUGCAGCAAGGUGAUAGCCUGGAAAGCCAGGCCGUUGUGUGAAGAGAGAAGUUUGCAAGUAUCACCAUUUUCCUCCUUAAAUAUAGGAAGGGGCCAGCAGUGGUCCAGCUGCCUGUGACAGCACAGCCAGGGGGCUUUCUUCCACAGCUUUCCCGAUGGAAGGAGCCUCUACAGCAAGCGGAAUCAGAGAAAGGCCUGACCCUUUUUCACCCUGGGAGAUUCGAGGAAGAAGAGAGAAAGGAACGAGGGCAGUGGAAUAAAGGGGAUGUGUCCCAGGGUUCCCCCUUCCUGGGUUUUGCAAAUGGAGGAGAAUAUGAGGGUGGCCCUGGCAGGCGGGCCAGACAACAGCUGCUCUCCAAAUGCCUGUCCCGGGCGUCUCCAAAUGCCUGUCCCGGGCGUCUCUGAGAGCUGGGCUCAGGGCCGGGGAGAGGACUCGCAAGAACGAGGAAACACACGGCAAAGAACAUCCCUGGCUCGGAAUUCACAAGCCCAGGAUAUCCCUGUCCUAACAGGAGAAGUUCAUAGUCUACUGUGUCUAGAGGCUGAUUUUGUUUUUAAAUAAAAUCACGAUUCAUUUUAAGGAGGGCUUAGAGAUACUUCUGGUAUGCGUGAUAUUUCCAAGUCUGGUGGGAAAUUCUGAUUCCUAAUUCCUUCUUUUUUAAAUCAAAUGCUGGAAACAGAGGGAAAGCACCUAGCUCCCCUCCAUCCUGAGUUACAGUGUAAGCUUUAACGUAAACAGCACUUCAUUGACAAGUAGACUGAGAUUCUGUUUUCAGAUUUCCCAUUAGCUAGUUCUGUGACCUUGAGCAAGCC
rnacentral:lncRNA from 1 species